AUUGAACGCUGGCGGCAGGCCUAACACAUGCAAGUCGAGCGGAGCGGCGGACGGGUGAGUAAUGCAUAGGAAGCUGCCUGGUAGUGGGGGCUAACGUCCGGAAACGGGCGCUAAUACCGCCUACUAUCCAACGAACCUAGGUCGGAUUAGCUAGUUGGUGGGGUAAAGGCCUACCAAGGCGAGGAGCCGUAACUGGUCGGAGAGGAUGAUCAGUCACACUGGAACUGAGACACGGUCCAGACUCCUCCGGGAGGCAGCAGUGUGGAAUAUUGGACAAUGGGCGAAAGCCUGAUCCAGCCAUGCCGCGUGUGUGAAGAAGGUCUUCGGAUUGUAAAGCACUUUAAGUUGGGAGGCGUUACCAACAGAAUAAGCACCGGCUAACUUCGUGCCAGCCGCCGCGGUAAUAC
rnacentral:rRNA from 1 species